rnacentral:rRNA from 1 species
UACGUAGGGUGUAGGCGUUAAUCGGAAUUACUGGGCGUAAAGCGUGCGCAGGCGGUCUGCUAAGAGAGGUGUGAAAUCCCCGGGCUUAACCUGGGAACUGCGCUUCUAACUGUCAAGCUAGAGUGCAGAAGGGGCAAUCGGAAUUCUUGGUGUAGCGGUGAAAUGCGUAGAUAUCAAGAGGAACACCUGAGGUGAAGACGGGUUGCUGGGCUGACACUGACGCUGAGGCGCGAAAGCCAGGGGAGCAAACGGG